rnacentral:lncRNA from 1 species
UGGCUCCGUCCUUCGACUCCCUCUCAUAGCAUAUAGAAUAGCAGGCAAUAAAGGUAUCCACAAUGUAGAAAUAAGAGAGGGUAUUAUGCUUAUAAGGUCUACUUAUACAUUGUGGAGGUGGUUCUUAUAGCUAUCCUUUUCUUGAGGUAGCAUUAUACAUAAGAACCACCCAUAAGAACCACCCAUAAGAAAUAAACAAUUCAAUCUUAUUUGCUCUAGCUUUAUCUCUCUUCAAAGUAGUUGGUUGCCGCCAUGGGAGAGGAGAAGCAGCAACGAGCCCGCCAUGGGAGAGUGAAAGAGGAAGGGAAGCACCUGCAUGGCCGUCGCUGGAGAGCCGCCCGCCACUGUCGUCUCCGUCGCUGGAGAUCCACCCGCGAGGCCGUGACCGCCGUCGGAGAUCCGCCCACGACUGCCGCCAGAUCCGCUCGCUCACACGGCUGCCGGAUCUGCUCGAGACCACCGUCCCCGACGCUGGAUCCACCGUCGACCAUCGCCGACGCCGCCGGAUUUGCCCGCGCGCGCGGUCGCACGCAGCCGCCACUCCGUCACCGGAUCAACCACCGCCAGCGUCACUCCGUCACCGAAUCAACCGCCGUCGUCACCAAUCUGACACCGCCACCCCGCCACGCUGCCGCCUCUCGCGGUCUCUCUCUCGGAGUUGGAGUAGAUGGGGAUGAGGUAGUCGGGAUGGGGAUGGGGAUGGGGAUGAGGAUGAGGCAGAGAGUAGUAGUAAUUGGGAACAUGGGGUCCAUCUUAAUGCCUACUUUUUUAAUAUACACUAUGAAGAUAUCCAUAUAAAAUGAUGGUGUCCACCUGGACCCAUAUUAAUGCCUUCUUUCAUUUUAUACAUUGUUGUUGCCCUAAGACAUGAUGAUCAAAGAGACUCUUUUUGUC